GUGAGCAGCAGCCAAGACCUGCCUCGGGGUUUGUGUGGAGAGAGCUCCUCCAGUACAAGUCCCCUGGGUGCAGAUGCGAAGAUGCGGCCCCACUGUAACACUGCACACCAUUCAUCUUCCGGUCAGCCGUUCUUUGCAAACCCAAAGCCACAAAAUCAGCUGAACACCAACCAAACCAUUGCGGGCAGGGGAGUGCCGGAGGAGGUGGGGGGACAAGGACUGGACCUGUGGGAGGACGAGACGAGAUAAACGCAGUGUGUUCCGGUGGCUGAGCAAGACUCCGCUCUGUCAAGAUAAAUCGAAGAGGUGGAAGAUCCCAGUUAUUAAGCAGUGGUGCCUAGAACUGUAUUUAAAUAUCUUAAUGGUAAUGUGAUGUUAUUGUGCUAUUUUUCGACUGGAUAACUUGGUAUAUGGUACCAAAAUAUGCACUCAGUGACCACUUUAUUAGGUAC